UUUCCGUAGGUGAACCUGCGGAAGGAUCAUUACUGAGUUAGGGUCUUUAUGGCCCGACCUCCAACCCUUUGUUUAAUCUACCAUGCUGCUUUGGCAGGCCCGCUUAGAAAUGGGCCGCCGGAGACCUUUGAGUCUCUGGUCAGUGCCUGCCAGUAGCCUUUCUAAAUUCAUUUAUAACCGUGUCUGAAUAUACAAAGAAAAAUUAAAAUAAAACUUUCAACAACGGAUCUCUUGGUUCUG
rnacentral:misc_RNA from 1 species